rnacentral:rRNA from 1 species
GAGAUUUUCGCAAUGCCCGAAAGGGUGACGAAGCGACGCCGCGUGCGGGAAGAAGGCCUUCGGGUUGUAAACCGCUGUCGGGAGUUAAGAAAUGUAAGGAUGUUAAUAGCAUCUUUACUUGUCUAAGGCUCCGGAGGAAGCCACGGCUAACUCUGUGCCAGCAGCCGCGGUAAGACAGAGGGAGCGAGCGUUGUUCGGAUUCAUUGGGCGUAAAGGGCAAGUAGGCGGUUCGUUAAGUCGGGUGUGAAAUCCCUCCGCUCAACGGAGGAACUGCAUUCGAGACUGACGGGCUUGAGGGGUGGAGAAGCGAGUGGAAUUCUCGGUGUAGCGGUGGAAUGCGUAGAUAUCGAGAAGAACUCCAAUGGCGAAGGCAGCUCGCUAGACACCCCCUGACGCUGAACUGCGAAAGCCAGGGGAGCAAACGGGAUUAGAUACCCCGGUAGUCCUGGCCGUAAACGAUGGGCACUAAGUAGAGGGGUUUUA